rnacentral:misc_RNA from 1 species
GUGACAUCGAAUCUUUGAACGCAAAUUGCACUCUCCGGUUUUCCGGGAGAGUAUGCCUGUUUGCGGGUCAGCCUAAAAAAAAAAUCGAAAUUGUUGCUGUUUUAUGGUGACUUUCUUCGGAGAUGGGUUAUUUUAAUUUUCGGUUUAAGGGAUUUAAAAUUUUUUUUUACGAUUCUAAGAAUGUUUCUAAGAUUUUUCUUUUACGUUUAUGUUAUCGAAUGUUUUAUUAGAGGUGGCCGUCAUAUCGGA